AAAUACUCAUAUAAAUAAUAAAUAAUAUUUAAAUUUUUAUGGUUUAAAAAAUUUAUUUAAAAUUUAUUUUACAUAUAAAUUUUAGUGUUAAUUUUUCUUUAUUUAAAUAAUAUUGUAAAUUAUAAUAUUUAGUAGUAAUUAAUGUUAAAUAUUUAAGAAAUUAAGAUUUAGUAAUAUUUGAAUUAAUAACAAAUUUUGUGCCAGCAGUUGCGGUUAUACAAAAAUUAAAUUAAAUUUUAUUAGUAAUUAAUAAAUAAUAAAUUUAAAAAGUAAUAAAAAUUUUAAAUUAUUAGGUGAAAUUUUAAUUUAUAAAAAAUUUAUAAAAAAUUUAUGAUUUAAUAAAAUUUUUAAAAAACUAGGAUUAGAUACCCUAUUAUUAAGAUUUUAAAUUAAAAAUACUAAAAAAGUAAUUAUUAAUAUAUUGGAACUUAAAUAAUUUGGCGGUAUUUUAGUUCAUUUAGAGGAAUCUGUUAGGUAAUUGAUAAUCCACGAAUAAAAUUACUUAAAUUAUAAUUUUGUAUAUCGUUGUUAAAAAAAUAUUUUUAAAUAAAAAUAAUAUUUAAAAAUUAAAAUAAAAAAUUAAAUCAGAUCAAGAUGCAGAUUAUAUUUAAGAUUAUAAUGGGUUACAAUAAAUUAAUUUAAAUAGAUAUUAUUUUAAAAAAAAUAAUUGAAAGUGGAUUUAAAUGUAAUUUUAUUUAGUUUGAUAAAAUGAUUUUUAAUUGAAAUAUGUACAUAUUGCCCGUCGCUUUCAUAUAAUAUUCAAUAAUAUAAAAGUAUUGAAUUUAAAAUUGAAAUAAGUCGUAACAAAGUAGAGAUACUGGAAAGUGUUUCUAGAAAGCA
rnacentral:ncRNA from 1 species